GGUACAGAGGAACAUUUCCAGCAACCAUCACUCCUGUGUUCUAAUGCUACAUUGUGUUAGCUAAUGGUGCUGAAAGGCUCAUUGAUGAUUAGAAAACCCUUGUGCAGUUAUGUUAGCACAUGAAUGAAAGUGUGAAUUUUCAUGGAAAAUCUGAAAUUGUUUGGGUUACCCCACACUUUUGAACGGUAGUGUAUCACUCCACUAAAACACAGCCUGCAGUUCAGCCAAGAAGUCCCAUCAUUUUCAUCGAAGCAUGAUGGCUUCACAGCUGCAUCUAGGAGGGUGGAAUUUUUAAUGAAAUAUCAGUCUUUAGAAGUCCGUGUCAGAGAUGAGUAGUUCAAAUCUGACCAUUUUUUCCCCCAGUUUUUACACUUGGAGGUUCUGUGUAAUGGUGUCAUUUUGACACUUUUUAAAGAACACAUGGCUUUGAAACCUACUGGUGAGUUUAGGAGUUCAGAGACGUAAUUGUUAACCCAGACUAUAUCAAACUGACUGAGAAAAUAAUCAACAAAUGAAUGAAUUGAGUUGCAGCUCCAUGAAUUUGCAGUACUGGAUGGCUUGAACAUUCCUUUUGGUGAAAUCAUAUAGGAGUUAGCAAAGUGUGCUUAAGUAUCAAACGCACAUGUACUUACAGGCAGAUUCAAAUUCAGUGCACUUUUUUUUUGCUCAGUUCAGUAAAUAUCUUCUCACAGUCCACUAGAUGUCCAUAAUGUGUGUGCUGAAAAAUAUCCUACAUUACGCUGUAAAUCUAUGCCACUCUUUAAAUAUUUAUAGUGUAGAGUCAUACUAGUGGUAAAUGUGUAAACUUGUAGCAUUAAAUGUUGAGUACAUUGCAAACCAACACAAAGGGGGUCCUCGACUUACCGUUGGCUAUGGCCCACAGUAGUCUGUGUGAAGGCUCAAUAAAUGACCAGAGAACCAGAUGAAGUCUCACUCAUUCAUCACAGAAUGCCACUACAAUAUGUUACACUGUUUUUGCAGCUUGACUGUUGCUCACACCCUGGUCCAAGCAUAUCUAAUUUAACUUCCAUGGAGGUGGAUUCCCUUUUCGUUGAAGCACUCCCAUCAGAAGAGUCUGACUUACACUUGGGAGCCAUAAUGAAGGGCAAAAAGUGAGAAAAUGUAACACAAUCCAAGGUGGUGUACAACCAGUGAAUGUAAACAAAGCCGCCUGAUAAGAUGCGUGACGAAGUAAUCGUCCGCUCUGCUUAGUUCCAACCAGGUCCAACGUGAUGAUGAAACACCGUAGGUCGAUGUCGUAAACCGAGGACCCCCUGUAUUUUUCAUAUGCACAGUUUAGCAGUCAUGACUCAUCACUCAUUGUCGUCUUCUGCAAAACUUAGUAGAAUUACAAAGUAGCAUAACAUAUCCUAACAGAAAAGUAUCUCAAAGUUUUAUUUAUAAGUACAUAGCUUUUACACGUCGUCGUCCUUCCACUCCCGUUCCUCGAUCACGGAUGGUCCACAUUUAUCUGAGAAGCUUCAGCAGGAACUGAGGCAUCCAUCCGAGUUCAUCAUCCAACCAUCCGUCACGGUGAUAAGUGGAGCCACGUCUGUCUGACAUCUGUCACACAUCUCAGUAGUGAGCAAAGAGCCUCCCAGAAUAUCUGAUUAAUCUUCGCUAAGCUGUCGUUUGAGUGAUACCAGCGGGGGAGUAAGUGGCUCACAGCUCGAGCGGUGGUCCAGGGGUCUCAGUUUGAGCAGCUGCUUGGGUGUUUGAUGAAAGGUGAUGGCAGUUUAUCACCUCCUGGAGCGGCGAAACGCUGUGAUGCAUUCGGAACGCCCCCUCCCCCCCAAAAGUGCUUACCGCAGUUGUCACCAUCUUGUGCACUUUGCAGGUGAGGGCCAGAGUUCUCGUAAACGGUUUCGCUCAUCCGGGUCUUGUUGCCAAGCUGUUGAACAGAUGAGAACAGGCCUUGUCUGGAAAUAAAAUGGGAGAGGCUCGUGACAGAACCAGAGAGCGUUGUUGGGUGACAUUGAAAGAUUACUGCUUACGUGCAUGCAAGGGGAGAAAACUGGCUGAUGGCCCCAAGGGGCAUUUUGUACAUAUGAAACAGAUAAGCUGUAGUCAUGGUUACAAGGGAAGUUGAGGGAAAGAGGGGGGAAGCUGGGGUGUCUGUCAGCGACGAUAUCCAAAGCUCGGGGAUCACACAGCAAGUGGACCAUGUUUGGAGAAGCUAUUGCUGCUAUUACUGCGCGGUUCAGCCAAAGGUUUUUGCAGCUGGAAUUUGAGUGUCUCAGACGAAACCUGCCGCCGGGUGUAAACACAGUGUGAUCCAGCACCUUUUUAUUGUCUCAUUCUACUGUUGUGCGAAUAAAGAUGCAUCAUUUCUCACCUUUGCGGUUAUAGGGUCGUAACGUUUUACGAGUCCAUUUUGCAUUCGUAUGUGGGUGUCCAUCUGUCUGACAUGACUAAAAUAAACAGUCUCCUGUUGUAAUCAACGGAUCAUAAUGUGCCGUCAGAGCUAGCUGGGCUCCUGUUCAUACGGCUUAUGUCAAAGGGCUACGCUCCUUCUACGGAGUACAUACGACAUGUAAUCAGAGACGGCUGCAAAUUUCAAGCUUUCUCUGGCUUCACUCUUGGGACUGUUUCGCUUGAGAAUAAUCUGAACGAUCUUGAGCAGCCGUGGAGAUGUGGAAAAAAAGAUUGAGCGGCUUGUCCACGCUGUGAGAAGAAAGCAUAUAUCGCCGGAUUGUACGGAGCAAUUUGAAGUGCCUUAUCGAUGGUGACAUAAACAAAUUGCUCUUUUAUCCUUAAAAUCCCCCUGUUGUAUCUUCAGAGUGUCUGAGCUGAAAGUUGUGGAUUGUGCAUUAAGGAGUGUGUUAUUCAGCCUCUUUUCUUCUUCUUCUUUUCCACAGCUCUGAGCUCCCAUUACUGUAAUUUCCAUCUUAACUCUGACCGUCUGAUUGCAGAGGCGAGGAAAGUUUAGACUGAACAAUCUGAAAUGAUCAUCGCAAGGCCUUUUCGAAGUAAUUUAUCCCCCCAAAAAAGUGACACAGUUCAAUGCUAUCUUGUGAGCACAGGGGGGCUGUUUUUGAUUGAUUCCCCCUCCAGUAUGCCGUAUUUCUUAUAUAAGAAAUUGUGCUUCCCUGUGCAAAACCUGUGUGUCAUCAUGUCUGGAUCGGCGCUGUCAUUCCAGUGUGUGUGUGUGUGUGUGUGUGUGUGUGUGUGUGUGUGUGUGUGUGUGUGUGUGUGUGAGAGCAUCUCGCUGUGUGGCGUUUUAUUUUUUCUAAAUGGCAUCCUGAGCAUGAAGACAGCAGAUUGGACAAAAUAUCACGGCACACAUCAGGGAGGCUGCACGCGGCGUGAUUGUCUCCGUCAUCACUCCUUCCUCUUUAAACAAUUCUUUCAAUAGUAACAAGCUUCCAAAGACUCACUCAGACACUACUGGAAUACGUGUAGAUACAUGAUUAUCCCACAUUUUCUAUCACAUUUUUGUAAAUCUGCUUGUACAAAGUCAAAAUGUAGAAUUACAAAUGAGAUUAUGUUCAGUGUACAGCCAGAAGUUUCCUUUUUUGGGGGAAAAAUGUUAUUUAAAAUCUUUACAGAUAUGAAUAUUGUGGAUUAUGAAAGUAAAAAGUAUAAAUAUAUGUGCAUUUUUUUGGAUUCCUGUGUUGCAAGAAUGAAACGAGCAACUGGAUCCAACUUUUUUUCCCCACAUUGGAGCUGCUUUCCAGGGGAUUUGAAGCGAUGAGUGACUUCUGCAGCCAGAAAGAGGGGGAAAAAAAUGACUUGGAAACCUGAGAGGAGCACAAAAAAAAGCUAAAACUAGUUUCAGCGUGGCCCAAAAGCCCAGCGGCAAGGGCUUCAUUUUGAUUUUCACCUGUAAAUUUAUGAGGCUUCGCACUCACCUCGGGAAGAAGCUGGACACACUUUCUAACUUUUGCAAUUUUAACACCCCGGGGAGAAGGUGUUUUUGUCGAGCAACCCGACGUGUGGUGAAGGAUUUGAGUCGUUUGGCCCCGUCCGAACUUCAAGGGGUCGCGUGGAUUUAAAAAGUUGGCAAAGAAAAAAAUGUUUUAAAAAAAACAAACAAAAGAGAAAUCAGUAGCCUGCUGCAAGUGUUAAAUGUACAUUCAGGUGUUCUUUUUUUUAUUUUUCAUUUGCUUCUGUACGUAGAUGUUCACGUGUAUUCACUCACUGUGGCUUGUGGCUUCUCUUGCAAUAGGAAAAAGUAAAUUCAACAGUCUAUUGUUUGCAUUGUAUAUAUCUAUAUGACAAUACAUUCUGUGUAAUUCAGAUGCGGUACAUUUGAAAUGUACAUACACAUGUUUAAUAGCUACUAUCUGAAUGUUUCCCUCCCCUAUACCUCCCCUCUCCUCAUUUAUUCUCCCUUCCCUUUUCCUCCCCCCACUAGGAUACUCCCUGUACAGUAACAAUGGUAUUGAUUUCCGUUUUGAUGCAUUCUUGAUUGAUUAUUUGUUCCGGACAAUGACUCUGAGUGUUAUCAUCACCGGCCACCUAUGGCACUGUAAAAAUGAUCAGUGGUUACAUUGUGCCAUAUUCCUCUCAGAAUGAAAUUCCAAUAAAAAUGUAUGAAAUGUG